rnacentral:rRNA from 1 species
GCAGUGGGUACGGGCAGACUAGAGUGCAGUAGGGGAGACUGGAAUUCCUGGUGUAGCGGUGAAAUGCGCAGAUAUCAGGAGGAACACCGAUGGCGAAGGCAGGUCUCUGGGCUGUAACUGACGCUGAGGAGCGAAAGCAUGGGGAGCGAACAGGAUUAGAUACCCUGGUAGUCCAUGCCGUAAACGUUGGGCACUAGGUGUGGGGGACAUUCCACGUUUUCCGCGCCGUAGCUAACGCAUUAAGUGCCCCGCCUGGGGAGUACGGCCGCAAGGCUAAAACUCAAAGGAAUUGACGGGGGCCCGCACAAGCGGCGGAGCAUGCGGAUUAAUUCGAUGCAACGCGAAGAACCUUACCAAGGCUUGACAUGAACCGGAAAGACCUGGAAACAGGUGCCCCGCUUGCGGUCGGUUUACAGGUGGUGCAUGGUUGUCGUCAGCUCGUGUCGUGAGAUGUUGGGUUAAGUCCCGCAACGAGCGCAACCCUCGUUCUAUGUUGCCAGCGGUUCGGCCGGGGACUCAUAGGAGACUGCCGGGGUCAACUCGGAGGAAGGUGGGGACGACGUCAAAUCAUCAUGCCCCUUAUGUCUUGGGCUUCACGCAUGCUACAAUGGCCGGUACAAAGGGUUGCGAUACUGUGAGGUGGAGCUAAUCCCAAAAAGCCGGUCUCAGUUCGGAUUGGGGUCUGCAACUCGACCCCAUGAAGUCGGAGUCGCUAGUAAUCGCAGAUCAGCAACGCUGCGGUGAAUACGUUCCCGGGCCUUGUACACACCGCCCGUCAAGUCACGAAAGUUGGUAACACCCGAAGCCGGUGGCCUAACCCUGGGGGGGCCUCGAGUGACGGAUCUUU